rnacentral:rRNA from 1 species
CCUACGGGAGGCAGCAGUAGGGAAUAUUGCUCAAUGGGGGAAACCCUGAAGCAGCAACGCCGCGUGGAGGAUGAAGGUUUUCGGAUUGUAAACUCCUUUUGUUAGAGAAGAUAAUGACGGUAUCUAACGAAUAAGCACCGGCUAACUCCGUGCCAGCAGCCGCGGUAAUACGGAGGGUGCAAGCGUUACUCGGAAUCACUGGGCGUAAAGAGCGCGUAGGCGGGAUAGCAAGUCAGAUGUGAAAUCCUAUGGCUUAACCAUAGAACUGCAUUUGAAACUGUUAUUCUAGAGUAUGGGAGAGGUAGGUGGAAUUCUUGGUGUAGGGGUAGAAUGCGUAGAGAUCAAGAGGAAUACUCAUUGCGAAGGCGACCUGCUAGAACAUAACUGACGCUGAUGCGCGAAAGCGUGGGGAGCAAACAGGAUUAGAUACCCCAGUAGUC